GCUCCGGACGAAUGAACUCCCUCAAGAAGGUGCACAGAGUGGUGGCGAGUCCUUUAUUUUAAUGCCAAACUUCAACUUCCUAAGUUUUCUCUUCCAUCCCUGUCUGUGAAGAAUCCGGGGAGUGUGCUAAUCAACAAGCUGAGGGAGUGAAAAAAGAACAAAGAAAUCUGUGACUGCUUGUGAUCAAUUAGUAAACUUAAUUUUUUAGAUUAAAAUGAAAUAAUACAUGCAAAGCCCUUG
rnacentral:lncRNA from 1 species